GUUUAAUUAUCCUAAGAUAUGAAAAUAUUCUUUACAUUGUCUUCUAAAAGCUGUAUUUUACCUUUCACAUUGAAGUUUAUAAUCACUGUGAAGUGUUGGGACUAAUUUUGUUUUACUCUUUUUGUAAUUACCACACCUAAUUGUUAUAGCACCAUCUAUGGGAGGGUAAAGGGAUGUUUUUUCCUGUGGAUUUUCAGUGUUACCUUUGUCAAAAUCAAGUGUGCAUCUUCCACUGGUUUGUCCCUUCCCCAAGACCGCACUGCCUUCAUUACCAUGGCUUUAUAUUGAGUUUGAUGUUAGGUGAGCAAGUGUUUUCUCUUUGUUUUUCUUCUUUUUGAGUAUCUUGACUCUUCUAAGUCCUUUGCACUUCCAUAUAAAUUGUAGAAUCAGUUUGUGAAUUCCACAGAUAAUCCUGGUAGGAUUUUCAAAGGGGAUGCAUUGAAUCUAUAGAUCCUUCAGGGAAGAAUUGAAAUCUUUAAAAUAUUGUCCAAUCUUUAUGCCUUCCUGAGUUUUGCUCAGUAGUUUUGUUACAUUUUUCGCUAGAUGGUUGAUAAAACUAUUGUAAGUUACAUUUUUAUUUAUUUAUUUUGAUGCUGGCAAUUGAGCCCAGGCCCUUGUGCAUGUCAGGCAGGUGCAUUGCCACUGAGCUCUGCCUGCAGCCCUACAUCUUCAAAAUAUCGUUUUCUAGCUCUUGGUUUCUCAUUUGGUCAUUAUACACCCCCAUGUAGGAAUGUGAAGGAGAUAAAAAAUUUUUUGUUAACAUUUCUGAAAAUAAUCUUGAAUUUAUCCUCUUGAUUGAUAGUUUGGCUGCAAACUAUCAAUUUUGAGAUCAUUGUUGAGUGGUCUCUUACUGUCCAGUGUGGCAAGGGGAAUUGGUUCUU
rnacentral:lncRNA from 1 species